CUGGAGGUAUCAGAAGUGCGAAUGCUGACAUAAGUAACGAUAAAGCGGGUGAAAAGCCCGCUCGCCGGAAGACCAAGGGUUCCUGUCCAACGUUAAUCGGGGCAGGGUGAGUCGACCCCUAAGGCGAGGCCGAAAGGCGUAGUCGAUGGGAAACGGGUUAAUAUUCCCGUACUUGGUGUUACUGCGAAGGGGGGACGGAGAAGGCUAUGUUGGCCGGGCGACGGUUGUCCCGGUUUAAGCGUGUAGGUGUGUGUUCCAGGUAAAUCCGGUUCACUUUAACACUGAGGCGUGAUGACGAGGCACUACGGUGCUGAAGCAACAAAUGCCCUGCUUCCAGGAAAAGCCUCUAAGCAUCAGGUAA
rnacentral:rRNA from 1 species